rnacentral:tRNA from 1 species
GCGGGAUUAGUACAAUGGUAGUACGCGACCUUCCCAAGGUUGAGACGCGAGUUAGAUUCUCGUAUCCCGCU